rnacentral:rRNA from 1 species
CCGAAUGGAAGGGCCAUCGCUCAACGUAUAAAAGCUACCCCGGGGAUAACAGGCAUAUCACCCCCAAGAGUUCACAGCGACGGGGUGGUUUGGCACCUCGAUGUCGGCUCAUCGCAUCCUGGGGCUGUAGUCGGUCGCAUGGGUUGGGCUGUUCGCCCUUUAAAGCGGUACGCGAGCUGGGUUCAGAACGUCGUGUGACAGUUCGGUCCCUAUCCGUCGUGGGCGUAGGAUAUUUGAGAGGUGCUGUCCUUAGUACGAGAGGACCGGUAUGGACAUACCUCUGGUGUACCAGUUGUCGUGCCAACGGCAUAGCUGGGUAGCUAUGUAUGGACGGUAUAAGUGCUGAAAGGUUCUAUGCAUGAAGCCCCCCUCGAGUUGAGAU